rnacentral:rRNA from 1 species
UGGAUGAUGUGGAUUAAUUCGAUGCAACGCGAAGAACCUUACCUACCCUUGACAUGUCCGGAACUUGCCAGAGAUGGCUUGGUGCCCGAAAGGGAACCUAGACACAGGUGCUGCAUGGCUGUCGUCAGCUCGUGUCGUGAGAUGUUGGGUUAAGUCCCGCAACGAGCGCAACCCUUGUCAUUAAUUGCCAUCAUUCAGUUGGGCACUUUAAUGAGACUGCCGGUGACAAACCGGAGGAAGGUGGGGAUGACGUCAAGUCCUCAUGGCCCUUAUGGGUAGGGCUUCACACGUAAUACAAUGGUCGGUACAGAGGGUUGCCAACCCGCGAGGGGGAGCCAAUCCCAGAAAACCGAUCGUAGUCCGGAUUGCAGUCUGCAACUCGACUGCAUGAAGUCGGAAUCGCUAGUAAUCGCGGAUCAGCAUGUCGCGGUGAAUACGUUCCCGGGCCUU